GACGAACGCUGGCGGCGUGCUUAACACAUGCAAGUCGAACGGAUAUUCCCUGCUUGUGGGUGGUUCUCCAGUGGCGAACUGGUUAGUAACACGGGAGUAACCUGCCCGUUACUUUGGGAUAACUUCAGGAAACUGGGGCGAAUACCGGAUAUGAUCUCCUGCUGCAUGGUGGGCGUUGGAAAGUUUCGGCGGUUGGGGAUGUACUCGCGGCGUAUCAUGUUGUUGGUGGGGUAUUGGCUUACCAAGGCGUUGACGGGUAGCCGGCCUGCGAGGGUGACCGGCCACAAUGGGAACGAGAUACGGCAGAGAGUCAUACGGGAGGAAGGAGUGGGGAAUAAUGCAGCAUGGGCGGAAGCGUGAUGAAGCAAUGCGGCGUGCGGGAUGCCGGCGUUCGGGUUGUACACGGAUUUCGCUUGAGACGAAGCGUGAGUGCCGGUACUGGGUAAAGAAGCACCGGUAACUUAGGU
rnacentral:rRNA from 1 species